rnacentral:rRNA from 1 species
ACAGGCUUAACACAUGCAAGUCGAGGGGUAGCAGGGUAGCAAUACCGCUGACGACCGGCGCACGGGUGAGUAACACGUAUCCAACCUUCCCAUAACUCAGGGAUAGCCUUUCGAAAGAAAGAUUAAUACCUGAUAGUACUUAUAUAGGGCAUCCUACAUAAGUUAAAGAUUUAUUGGUUAUGGAUGGGGAUGCGUUCCAUUAGAUAGUUGGUGAGGUAACGGCUCACCAAGUCUUCGAUGGAUAGGGGUUCUGAGAGGAAGGUCCCCCACAUUGGUACUGAGACACGGACCAAACUCCUACGGGAGGCAGCAGUGAGGAAUAUUGGUCAAUGGGCGAGAGCCUGAACCAGCCAAGUAGCGUGAAGGAUGACGG